GUGACUCCAUCGGCUGCCGGCUCAUGUUUCUCCCGCUUUUCUUCUUUCUUCUAUUUUACACACGGCUAUGACAUCCGAUCGCUAAUCGAUAGGCAGCGCAGGACAGGGGCUGGAUUACACUUACAGACCAGCUCCGGAAUUGGCCCAAACCCCGCAGGGCAAAGUUUCAGAUGUGACAGCGCACCCAGCUGCUCCAACAGGGUACUGACAGCUUCCUGUACAAAUAGCUGACCCUACCUGAGCCUGGUUCUGCUGAUGGUUUCUUCCUGUAAAAGGGGAGUUUUUCCUUCCCACCGUUUCCAAGCCCUUGCACAUAAGGGGGUCAUCUGAUUGCUGGUGUUUUUUUUUAGAUUAUUGUAG